rnacentral:misc_RNA from 1 species
GGUGGUCCACUUCUAUUGCUGGACAUUCAAUCAAUGAGUUGGAAUUGUGGGCCUCGGUGUACUGCUGAUGGGAUGCAUUAUGAUGGAGCUAUUUAUGAAGCUGCUGUUCAUAUUUUGCUAAAUGCAUUGCUUAUUGAAUCUCAUCAGAAGCUUGGGGCUACGUAGUUUCAGAUUUUUAUUAAAUUGUGCAACUCAAACUUGGAUGACAUGAAAGGCGUAUGCAACUAUUUUCGAGCUUUUGAUUCACACGAGAGGCUGAAUUUUCUUCUGAUAUUGCACCUUUGAUAUUUCUUUCAGGUUUUGCCUUUAGAUUAACUCAAGAGUAAAUUUUUAUACUGGUAUAUGCAUAUUGAAUUCAUUGUUUUAAUUUUGCUUUUCAUUUGAAUGAAU